UGUGAAUGAAUUGUAAUGUAAAAUAAUUUGAUGGUUGGGGGUCACCUCAACAUGAAAAACUGUAUUAAAGGGUCACGGCAUUAGAAAGGUUGAGAACCAUUGCUGGCUUGAGAGGGAGGAA